GGUUUCAAAUAAACGUUUUAAAUUACCUUGAUUUGAAUGAAAUUAUCAAUUUUACUUUCGCGCUACGGAUCGUGCGGGUCGCGAAACGUGACAAUAAUUCAAUUAAAAAUGAGUAUCAUCAACGUAUUGGGCUUAGGUUAUUGCAAAUGAUUUUCAAUACUCUGCUGAAAAAAAUUCAGCGGAAAAUUCACAAUUAAGAAACCGGGUAAAGCAUAUAUAAUAAAAGCACUUUCGACGGCAAAUGUCACAAGAAACCCUCAAACUGGCUUAAAGAUGCUCUAGAAAAAAACAGCCACGGAGCAGAGAGACGAUGAACCUUCUGGUAAAAGGACUAUGAUUCUCAGUACUUACCUCAGAACUGUCAGAAAACUACGAGUAUCGUGACAAAUUAUUAUUUGUGAAAUUUCAAAGUGUCGAGAGAUUCGAAUGCAGAGCUCGAAAAAAGGAAUUUUUAAAUUAAUGAGGAAGAAGAGUUUGAAAAUAAACUUCCAAAAUUGACAGAA